rnacentral:rRNA from 1 species
AGCGAACGCUGGCGGCAGGCUUAACACAUGCAAGUCGAGCGGGCACUUUCGGGUGUCCGCGGCGGACGGGUGAGUAACGCGUGGGAACGUGCCCUCUGGCUCGGAAUAACUCAGGGAAACUUGAGCUAAUACCGGAUACGCCCUUUUGGGGAAAGGCUUGCUGCCGGAGGAUCGGCCCGCGUCUGAUUAGCUAGUUGGUGAGGUAACGGCUCACCAAGGCGACGAUCAGUAGCUGGUCUGAGAGGAUGAUCAGCCACACUGGGACUGAGACACGGCCCAGACUCCUACGGGAGGCAGCAGUGGGGAAUAUUGGACAAUGGGCGCAAGCCUGAUCCAGCCAUGCCGCGUGAGUGAUGAAGGCCUUAGGGUUGUAAAGCUCUUUUAUCCGGGACGAUAAUGACGGUACCGGAGGAAUAAGCCCCGGCUAACUUCGUG